rnacentral:lncRNA from 1 species
GAAAAGUAGACACGGUGGCAAUGUUGUAAUUACGUUGAAAUUUGUUUUAAUUGGAUUUCACUACUGAUUUGGUCUUCAACCGUAGUGGAAUCCCUAUUAGUGUUCAUCAUAUUGUUCAUUCAUUCAUUCCCAAUCCCUAACAUAUAUGUUACGCGAAGCCGAACGAAAUUCCCAAAUCGCCAAAUCCCUAAAAAUCAAAACACUCACUCCUGCGCCAUCUUCAUUAUCGUUCUCCAAGUUCUUCAAUCAUUCUCCAAUCUCUUCACCUUAAAUUACUCGAUCCAAUCCCGUAAUCGUCCCAUCGAGAGAAGCGAUCGAACCCUAGACGGCCGACCUUGCAGAUUUCUUCGUUUUCAUUCGGUAAAGGAGCGAGAGAAGUCCUUGUCGAUUUUUGGAGUUUUGAUUUUGCCAAAGCUUGAGGCGAAACCCUAGACGGCCACCGCUGUCAUUCGAGAAAGGUGGAUAACAAAACU